UGUUAAAAUUUUCAGUCAUUUUUAUUAUUAAGAACGGACAUGAUUAAUUGAAUAACUAAAAGUGACAUGUAGUAUACCACGUGUACCUUAUGUUGAUGUAUGAAGACUCGUUUUUAUAGUAGAAAUGGAUUGAUUUUUUAACA
rnacentral:pre_miRNA from 1 species